GAUGAACGCUGGCGGCGUGCCUAAUACAUGCCAGUAGAACGCUGAAGGAGGAGCUUGCUCUUCUGGAUGAGUUGCGAACGGGUGAGUAACGCGUAGGUAACCUGCCUGGUAGCGGGGGAUAACUAUUGGAAACGAUAGCUAAUACCGCAUGACAACAGUUAUUGCAUGAUAACUGUUUAAAAGGGGCAACUGCUCCACUACCAGAUGGACCUGCGUUGUAUUAGCUAGUUGGUGAGGUAACGGCUCACCAAGGCGACGAUACAUAGCCGACCUGAGAGGGGGAUCGGCCACAAUGGGACUGAGACACGGCCCAGACUCCUACGGGAGGCAGCAGUAGGGAAUCUUCGGCAAUGGACGGAAGGCUGACCGAGCAACGCCGCGUGAGUGAAGAAGGGUUUCGGAUCGUAAAGCUCUGUUGUAAGAGAAGAACGAGUGUGAGAGUGGAAAGUUCACACUGUGACGGUAUCUUACCAGAAAGGGACGGCUAACUACGUG
rnacentral:rRNA from 1 species